rnacentral:lncRNA from 1 species
AAGGGAGAAAAAUAAUCUCUCUUGGUGCUUCUGCCUGCAAGGUAGAGCAUGUUUUUAGAAUUUAGGAUAAGGGAAGACAUUCUGGAUUGAUUCCAGUUAUUUGAGUUAUGGAGGGAAUAUCCUUCCCCAAAAUAGCUUUCAUGGUUGCUACUUGCCAGAAGAUGUAAAUUAAGAGCAGAUAGGUUUUCAUUCAAUUUCUUGUGUUCUUAGGUCUCUAAUUUCAUAUUCCUGCCAUAGCUUCUUCAUCUUAUUCUCCACCUCCCUCUCUUCCUUCAACAGCACUAUAAAAAGAAGCAUUUUCUUCCUUCUGUGCUCAGAAUCUUGAUUUAGAAGCUUGAAUAUGACAAAUGGAAAAUAAUGUUUACAAAUUUAAUUGAGUGAAGAAAUAUUUGGAAAGGGUUUGCAGUUUGUGUGCUUAUGUUUGUUUUGGUGUGUCUGUGUGUGAUUCUUAGGGAAGACAGAUAAGUGUAUGGAAAAGAAAAAAAAAUAGCUUUCUGUAGCUUUCUGUUUACUAAGAAAAAAUGGUUUUAACCCCAUCAGAAUAUUCACAACAAACAGCAUUCAUGAAAAAGAAAAAGGAAAACACUCAACCUACAAAAACUUUUUUUUUUUUUUUUUUUUUUUUUUUUUUUUCUGGAAAUUAAAGUGGUUUUGUUUCUUAUUCCCUGCUAUAGAAAAUAAUAAAAAUUCAGCUCAUCACUUUGAUGUCUACUUGAUCUCACGUGCCAGGAGGCCUUCCUCUUCAUUGCUUGCAUCCUGGCAAUCAGGGAGCUUCUUGGGAUUGCAAGUGUAAAGCUUUCUUGUGCACAGUCAGAAAAAUAGUCUGCCCAGAACAGAAAAGCAGAAACCCAAAAGAAUGAAGUACCAAAGCAAGACAAGUAAGGCCUUCUGUUCCCGUGAGCUGGACAGGAAGAAGUCUUCUGUACUGCUAAUGUCAUGUAAGUGUAACUGCAUAGGCUGAAACCUGGUUCCUCAGCAAAUCUUUCCUCUCACAGUGGUAAUCCAGCCUACUUUAAAACCUUAUUAAGUGUCAAUUUUUAUGUUUUAUUUGUUUUCCUUCUAAAUAGGACAGGCAGAAAUCUUUCUCCAAUGACAACACGGAUAAUACAACAUGAUGGUGCCACAAACAGAAGUGUAUGUUUGCAGGUUGGAGACCUGAGAGGGUGUAGUUUCCACAUUUAGUCACAGGGCCUGACAAGAAUUAUAUGAAGCACACUAGCAAAGCCAGCCAAGGUCUUUAUUGAACAUUUUAUUUCAAUAUCCUCAUUUUGACAAGGCACAGGGGAGAAUCCUUAUUUUGAAAACCUGGCAUGAGAUUUGGCUUACAAUACAAGACACAUACCCAACCUUUAAACUCAUCUAAGCACUGGAGACUGACAAGAGAAUGGAAUCUAAAUACACUGCUCAGCUGGAAACCUAGAACUUCUAAUAAAGAAAAAUAAAGUGUUUAUGUAUUACA